UACAGAGGUGGCAAGCGUUGUUCGGAAUUACUGGGCGUAAAGGGCGCGUAGGCGGCCAUCUAAGUCAGACGUGAAAUCCCCCGGCUUAACCGGGGAACGACGCAUGAAACUGGCAAGCUAGAGUACCAAAGAGGGGGGUGGAAUUCCCGGUGUAGCGGUGAAAUGCGUAGAUAUCGGGAGGAAUACCAGUGGCGAAGGCGGCGACCUGGUCAGAUAUUGACGCUGAGGUGCGAAAGCGUGGGGAGCAAACAGG
rnacentral:rRNA from 1 species